UCCCUGAGACUAUAGCUGUGACGGCCAAGUUGAAACUCACGGACUAUAGUGUCGGGAAUG
rnacentral:pre_miRNA from 1 species